ACUUCCCGGCCUUCAUGGGUGCUGACACAACUCAUGACUAGAAUUCUCAUAUAGCAAAUGAUCUGUAAGACAGUGCUAAGGAUUAAGAAAUAUAUAAACCAUUUGCAUAUGUUAUGGUGUGCCCUGUCCAACUAGUCCAAGAGGUUGCCUUACAGACCAAGUAUUCUACAUUAUUUCACGUUCAACACAAUGAUUACUGAAAGAUUUAAACAAUCUUGUACCACAAUAAAUGUGACAGA